UGAAUUUUUUUAAUUUAAAUUUUGAAUUCAAAAUUUAAAAUUUAAUUUAAAUUUUAAAUUUAAAUUUAAUAAAUUUUCAUAUUAAAAUUUUAAAAUUAAAAAUUUUAAAUUCAAAAUUAAAAUAAAAUUGAAAUUUUAUAAACUUAAAUUUUUAAUUUUAACUUUUAUAUUUUAAAAUUUACAUCUAAAGUUUAAAAUCUUAAAUUUUAAAUUUUUAAUUGAAAAUUUAAAUUU
rnacentral:lncRNA from 1 species